CUAGUUUUUAAUAAGAUUCAGAAAUUAUAAGGGUUUACAUAAAAAUUGAUUUCUAGCUUCUCAAAAAAAAUGAAGAUCUGAUGAAGUUAGUGAAUGGUAAGAAUCAGCUGGAGCUAAGUAGACUAGAGAAUGUGCCCUUUAGGUCACCACAAUCCCUAACUCGGUUACCUUUGUCCUUUUUCUUUACAUAGGGAAAUGGGUCUCUGCCCGCUGCUUUGUCAGAAGCAUCAAUACAAAUGAUGGGCCACAGGCAUGUCUUGACUCAGAUGGAAGGAGCCAGGAAACAAACAAGGGCACCCCCCCCUUAUGCACCAGGAUUCCCCCAGGGGCACACUCUCUUGUAUGACAUCUUGAACAGCCAGCUCACUAUUCAGGCUCAAAGAUGAUCUUUCUACAUUUUCAUUCUGCGUGGGAGAGAAGCAUUUGCCGUCACACUGUCGUGUAUUCAGUGACUCUUCAAAUACUGAGUCCUUCUGUGCAAACGUCUGAGUGAACAGCUCUAGCCUGGGCCACUUUCUGUGAUUGGAGCCCUCAUUUGGCUCAACUCUUCCCAGGCAUCCCAGGCAUCCCAUCACUCCUGGGAUGCUCGGUGAUUAGUUCACACCUGUCCACGAGGGCAGGACACCCACAGCACCCCAGCCUCAGUUAGGCACAUAAAUAUUUGUUAUGUGACUAAUAAAAUGGAUCUUCUAACUC